UCAAGUUCCAAAAUAAGUCAGUAUGUUCCAACGAAACUGCCAUAUUCAGUGAAUAGUUAGAAUAUAAGGGAUUAAAAUUCAUUUGUCAAAGAUGAAGAUCAAUAACACAACUACCUUCUUCGAGAACCGCCAGAAGAUCAUCGAGUUCCUCGCACUCGACAGUAAAAAGAUUCUCAACGAAGAAACCUCGUGUCUUUUUGCUCCACCGAACCAUUAAGGGUUUCCUCGACGUGCCAGGAUUUAACAGAUCUAUUACCUGCGGUUCGAAGUUAAAAGAUCUCUAGGAAGGAGGCUUUCAACACGAAGUUACAUUCUUGUCGUUCUUGCAAUAACUUAAACAAAUAGACGAAAGACCGGAAGACCAGGCCGUGUUGCUCCGAGUAAGGGUUCAUCCUUUCGAACUAAUGGAAAAAG